rnacentral:tRNA from 1 species
GGUGGUAUAGCUAAGUGGUAGAGUGCAUGCCUAGCAUGCAUGAGGUCCUGAGUUCAAUUCCCAGUAUCUCCA